rnacentral:other from 1 species
GCAGGGCUGCGGGGUGCGUCGUGGGCAUGAAACCCCGGGGCCUAUAAGAUCCGCAUGGGAGCUGUCCCUGACCGAGGUCGUGGCCUCGGACACACGGCGCCCACCUACGUUUCGUAGGGACCACGCGGGUUUAACCGCCCGCACGGCUCACGCGGCUCUGCC